rnacentral:rRNA from 1 species
GGGUAACCUGCCUGUAAGACUGGGAUAACUCCGGGAAACCGGAGCUAAUACCGGAUAGUUCCUUGAACCGCAUGGUUCAAGGAUGAAAGACGGUUUCGGCUGUCACUUACAGAUGGACCCGCGGCGCAUUAGCUAGUUGGUGGGGUAAUGGCUCACCAAGGCGACGAUGCGUAGCCGACCUGAGAGGGUGAUCGGCCACACUGGGACUGAGACACGGCCCAGACUCCUACGGGAGGCAGCAGUAGGGAAUCUUCCGCAAUGGACGAAAGUCUGACGGAGCAACGCCGCGUGAGUGAUGAAGGUUUUCGGAUCGUAAAGCUCUGUUGUUAGGGAAGAACAAGUGCGAGAGUAACUGCUCGCACCUUGACGGUACCUAACCAGAAAGCCACGGCUAACUACGUGCCAGCAGCCGCGGUAAUACGUAGGUGGCAAGCGUUGUCCGGAAUUAUUGGGCGUAAAGGGCUCGCAGGCGGUUUCUUAAGUCUGAUGUGAAAGCCCCCGGCUCAACCGGGGAGGGUCAUUGGAAACUGGGAAACUUGAGUGCAGAAGAGGAGAGUGGAAUUCCACGUGUAGCGGUGAAAUGCGUAGAGAUGUGGAGGAACACCAGUGGCGAAGGCGACUCUCUGGUCUGUAACUGACGCUGAGGAGCGAAAGCGUGGGGA